rnacentral:rRNA from 1 species
GGAAAUCAAGUCGAGAGUGAAAUCCAACGGCUCAACCGUUGAACUGCUCUCGAAACUGGUUACCUAGAAUAUGGGAGAGGUAGAUGGAAUUGGUGGUGUAGGGGUAAAAUCCGUAGAUAUCACCAGGAAUACCGAUUGCGAAGGCGAUCUACUGGAACAUUAUUGGCGCUGAGGCAUGAAAGCGUGGGGAGCAAACAGGAUUAGAUACCCUGGUAGUCCACGCCCUAAACGAUGUACACUAGUUGUUGUGAGGCUCGACCUUGCAGUAAUGCAGUUAACACAUUAAGUGUACCGCCUGGGGAGUACGGUCGCAAGAUUAAAACUCAAAGGAAUAGACGGGGACCCGCACAAGCGGUGGAGCAUGUGGUUUAAUUCGACGAUACACGAAGAACCUUACCUGGACUUGACAUAGUAAGAACUUUCUAGAGAUAGAUUGGUGUCUGCUUGCAGAAACUUAUAUACGGGUGCUGCACGGCUGUCGUCAGCUCGUGUCGUGAGAUGUUGGGUUAAGUCCCGCAACGAGCGCAACCCUCGUCAUUAGUUGCUAACAGUUCGGCUGAGAACUCUAAUGAGACUGCCUACGCAAGUAGGAGGAAGGUGAGGACGACGUCAAGUCAUCAUGGCCCUUACGUCCAGGGCUACACACGUGCUACAAUGGGGUAUACAAAGAGCCGCAAUACGGUGACGUGGAGCAAAUCUCAAAAAUAUCUCCCAGUUCGGAUUGUAGUCUGCAACUC